CACUACGUCGCCUCCCAAAUCGAAGGAGAACCCUAGCCGCCCCUCCUUCCUUCCCUACCUCAUCCCCGUCUCACCGCCGCCGGAUGGCGCCCAGGGGCAAAGCUAGGUCCAGCCCCAAGGAGGGCCAUGGCGGGGCACCCGGUUCCUGUCGUCUGGGUAAACGAGAGGGGCUUGCCGGCCGCGGAGGUGGCAGAUUGGCGGCGAACGUGAGCCCUCCUCACCGGCGGCAGCAUUUCUUCCAAUCCUCACGCUCUACGGACGACUCGCUGACCUCGCCCGCUUCAUGGUCGUCUGGCCGACCUUGACUGCCUCUCGAGUUCCAGCGUCUCGCUUCGGCAAGCUCCACCGCGUCCUCAUCAUCAACCCGUAUCCCCGACCUGGACUAUGCUUCUGUAGGUGAAGGUUCUUAAGUGUGAGCUCUUAACUUCUUCCCCACGCGUCCGCAUAUUGUCUCAGCACGGGAAAUCCGAUCGAGGAUAUAUUCAGUUCAUGAACUGCUAAAACAAAUACAUCUCAGGAGAGGAUGAUAACUACCCGGAAGUAAACCUGGGCAUAGUCCGGGCCGGGCCGGGUUUCGGAUCGGGCUUUAAAAAGCCCGAACGGGAAAACUCAAGCCUGAGCCAGGCCCGACCCGGUCGUCGGGCCUAACAAAUCGGGCCUGAACCUGACCCGAACAUGCGAAGCCCGGUUAUUACUGGUUUUGCUGCCACAACAUGCAAAAUUUGGUGUGUGUGCGAGGCCAUGGGUUUGUGAUAGGAUGUUGAAGAUCAUAACCUCUAAGAUGUAUGACUACUCAAUAGGAAAUGGAGAGUUCCACCGAGAGUGUGGGGGAAAUAUGCAUGCUACCAUCAGGAAAAGAGGAAACAAUCUAUAGCAUAUGAUCUUGAAGAGUGUAAAUAGUAGCUCUAUUUUGUUCUCCAAACAGAUCUCUUAGGAUAAACUCAUGUUGUCUACUGAAUCAUGUUGCAUUAAGAAGUAUGACACUGGAAUUAACAAAUGUAUUACUAAAUCUAA